AUGCAGCUCUAUGGUUACAGCAUCACUGUUAAAAUUCUCAUUUCUUGCAUCCAACUUCUUUAUGGAAGAAAAGAGAAUUGGGAUAAAUUUGGCUUGCUAGAGUUAUUAAUGUGGGCAUGUAUGUUAGCUAGAAAUAAGAAACCUCCACUGGUCAUUCAGAGGAUCCAGCAUCACAUCACGUCGCUAGAGCGUUUGCUGGCCGGUCUAGUUGCAUAUGCGUCCAAGCAUCCCUGUCAAAGGUCUAACAUCAAAUGUGUUCUCUGUAUCUUCACCAUCUAUAACCAUCUGAUAGCUAUCAAACCGUGUUCUCUUGCACGGCGAUGUCGCUUGGUCGACAAUCUGGAUGGGCCGUGCACGUGGACGAACUGGCACCACUUUCCUCACCUAUUCGGUAUUCAAUUUGAAUCCAGCUGUUCUGUUAGGUCGUCAGAGUUUGGCCACUCGAUGAAACAGUCGCAAUGGAUUAUGGAUACUCAUACUAGUCCAAGCUUACCAUCCGUCGGUCGUUGGGUAGAACUGCAAUACCCACUGUUCCUUUUUUAUUCUACUGACAGCACCAAACUCGCUGGAUUACUUAUACUUAGUUAA
rnacentral:rRNA from 1 species